UUCGCCCGUUGCAUAAUUAAAGUGGGACGGUCAAUUAUAAAAUCACCCGAGUUUCCACUCCAUUUUUCCACGCCAAGUUCACCGGGUCUCGCCCACGCCAAUUCACUUAUUCGCAAUCGAUGAGUGUGCAUCACGCUCGCGCCUAGAUAAAUUAAUCGUCGUACGAAUUACGAAUGAUGCAAUCCGCAAUUAUUUCUCGGAAUCCGUCGCCGUUCUUAUCCCCGAGCCAAAACGACGCGGAAUACAACUCCCACUCUUUUAUCCUUUAUAAUUAACGCAACGAGUCGAAUCACCGUUAAUAUAUUCAAACCUCUCUCUCUUUCUCUCUCUUUUUCUCUAUCUAUUCCUUUCGAAGAAAAAGUAGGGACGAAGUACUCUCAUCUUCAUUCGCGAUAAUGUAUCGUUUCGAUCUAUACAAUUUUUACUUCCACGAAUUCCUUAAAACUCUCACUGAUAAUUUUAUCGUUUUAUUGGACGAAUAUACGUAUAUGUACACGUGUGUAUAUAUACUCCGUGUGGUUCGUCGUCAUUUUACAACGCGAUUCGCACGAUUCUUCGAAUCAAGUUCGAGUCGAUAUGGACCGAUGCGAUCGAUGCGGGAAAAGAAAUUUGCGAGGAACGGGCACGUUAUAACCUUCCAUCUUGGUGCACCAAGUCUCUGUACCUUUGGCCGCCACGGCGGUGACCUGGUUCGUAUAAGAACUCGGCAUUAUGCUUCUUCUGAACGAACUCGAACCGUUCUCUGAAUGACCUCCAAGUACGGAACAUAAAUAAUAUACAGUGUUUCGAAGUUAUUUAAUUUUUCGUUACGAUUCCAUCAUCGGAGCGAAAUGAUCAAUGAAUAAGUUAACAAGAUGAUUCAGAAGAUUAAAGGAAAAAGAAGAAAUUCGGAAGAAUUCGUCGCAUCGACAAAGGCAAAAAUAGACGAAAUCAACCGCUUCCUUGGUAAUGUCCUUUCAGACAUGUAAAUCUAUUCGAGCCGUGCAACAACUGUACAGAAAUAAAAAUGCUCGAGAAUA